UGGGGAAUAUUGGACAAUGGAGGCAACUCUGAUCCAGCAAUUCUGUGUGUGUGAAGAAGGUUUUAGGACUGUAAAACACUUUUAGUAGGGAAGAAAAAAAUGACGGUACCUACAGAAGAAGCGACGGCUAAAUACGUGCCAGCAGCCGCGGUAAUACGUAUGUCGCGAGCGUUAUCCGGAAUUAUUGGGCUUAAAGGGCAUCUAGGCGGUUAAACAAGUUGAAGGUGAAAACCUGUGGCUCAACCAUAGGCUUGACUAGAAAACUGUAUAACUAGAGUACUGGAAAGGUGGGUGGAACUACACGAGUAGAGGUGAAAUUCGUAGAUAUGUGUAGGAAUGCCGAUGAUGAAGAUAACUCACUGGACAGCAACUGACGCUGAAGUGCGAAAGCUAGGGGAGCAAACAGG
rnacentral:rRNA from 1 species